rnacentral:rRNA from 1 species
GACGAACGCUGGCGGCGUGCUUAACACAUGCAAGUCGAACGGAAAGGCCCUGCUUUUGUGGGGUGCUCGAGUGGCGAACGGGUGAGUAACACGUGAGUAACCUGCCCUUGACUUUGGGAUAACUUCAGGAAACUGGGGCUAAUACCGGAUAGGAGCUCCUGCUUCAUGGUGGGGGUUGGAAAGUUUCGGCGGUUGGGGAUGGACUCGCGGCUUAUCAGCUUGUUGGUGGGGUAGUGGCUUACCAAGGCUUUGACGGGUAGCCGGCCUGAGAGGGUGACCGGCCACAUUGGGACUGAGAUACGGCCCAGAGUCCUACGGGAGGCAGCAGUGGGGAAUAUUGCACAAUGGGCGGAAGCCUGAUGCAGCAACGCCGCGUGCGGGAUGACGGCCUUCGGGUUGUAAACCGCUUUCGCCUGUGACGAAGCGUGAGUGACGGUAAUGGGUAAAGAAGCACCGGCUAACUACGUG